GAUGAACGCUGGCGGCGUGCCUAAUACAUGCAAGUCGAGCGAACAGACGAGGAGCUUGCUCCUCUGACGUUAGCGGCGGACGGGCGAGUAACACGUGGAUAACCUACCUAUAAGACUGGGAUAACUUCGGGAAACCGGAGCUAAUACCGGAUAAUAUAUUGAACCGCAUGGUUCAAUAGUGAAAGACGGUUUUGCUGUCACUUAUAGAUGGAUCCGCGCCGCAUUAGCUAGUUGGUAAGGUAACGGCUUACCAAGGCAACGAUGCGUAGCCGACCUGAGAGGGUGAUCGGCCACACUGGAACUGAGACACGGUCCAGACUCCUACGGGAGGCAGCAGUAGGGAAUCUUCCGCAAUGGGCGAAAGCCUGACGGAGCAACGCCGCGUGAGUGAUGAAGGUCUUCGGAUCGUAAAACUCUGUUAUUAGGGAAGAACAAAUGUGUAAGUAACUAUGCACGUCUUGACGGUACCUAAUCAGAAAGCCACGGCUAACUACGUG
rnacentral:rRNA from 1 species